UACGUAGGGUGCAAGCGUUAAUCGGAAUUACUGGGCGUAAAGCGUGCGCAGGCGGUUUUGUAAGUUUGUCGUGAAAUCCCCGGGCUCAACCUGGGAAUUGCGAUGAAGACUGCAAGGCUAGAAUCCGGGAGAGGGAUGCGGAAUUCCAGGUGUAGCGGUGAAAUGCGUAGAUAUCUGGAGGAACACCGGUGGCGAAGGCGGGUCUCUGGGCAGUAACUGACGCUGGAGGAGCGAAAGCGUGGGGAGCGAACAGG
rnacentral:rRNA from 1 species